AUCAUUGUUCGUACGGCACAAAGCAUGACACAACCCAUCAAUGGGCCGUGCUGGGUCAAUCAUUCUGGUCUAUGGGCCAUUUUUUUGUUCAGGCACAACAUGGGCCGUGCAUAAACAACACAAGCAGGAGCCCAUUAAGGGCCCAUAAUGUCAACCCACAAGCCCACUUUGCUUUUUUUAUAAAUAUUUUCUUUGUUAUUUCAUCUUUCAAAUUUCUAUAUUAAUUUGUUAUAGAAAAAUAAAAUACAAAUUUAAAAUUUUGAAGUUCAAACUUUAAAAAGAGAUUUUACAUUGUCUUCUAAAUUUCAAAUUUUGCAUUGAUAAAUCUAUUGAGUUAAUUUAAAGCUAAUUGAAUGAAUUGAAUCAUUCUUUAAUAAUUUAACUUUUAAUGAAUAAAUAGAAUUAUGACUCAUUAAAUUAAAAAUAAAAUAUUUGAGAGAGAUAAAAUAAAUUUUAUUUUUAUGAAAUUUAAAGCUACAAAUUAUAAAUAAGACAUUUAAUUUGCAUCAUUAUAAUUUACAAUACAUCCCAACUAGGUUAACAUCAACUGAAUUAUCCAUUAUUGCAUAUUAAAAGCAUUUCUAAAUUUUAAUAUUCAUUGUCAUCGUCGUUGUCGUCAUCAUCAACUUUAACAUGAACAUCAUCAUUGUCACCGUCAUUCAAUUGCAAUUCAUAAGCUCUUAUUUUUAUCAAAUAUCAAUAUUUAUUAUUGUUACUGAAAUUAUUUAAAAAGUAAUUAAAUUUAGUAACUAUUUUUUAAUAGAAUUAAAUUUAGUAACUUUAAAUCUAACAACAAUAUGUCAAAUUACAAUAAAAUUAGAUUUGUAUAGCUAAUUAGUAUUUUAUAUUUUUAAAACAAUAAAUUAUGAUAUCAAAUUAGAAUUAAAUUUGUGAUAUUAAAAGCACUUACUAAGGUUGUGGUAUGUUUUAUUUUUCUUUUCUAUACUUAUCGAGUGGUUUUUAUCUUGUUUUUAUGUACUUAUCGAGGUUAUGGUAUGUUUUUAUUUUUAUUUGUUCUAUUAAAAGUAAUUAAUUUGUUUCAAAUAAAAGAACUAACCAAAAGAACCCUAGUUCUCUUUAGUUUUAUAUAUUAUCAUUAUACUAACUUGACAAAUCAAAUUUGUCUAGCCAAAAUAGAUAUGGGCAAUUAGCUCAUAUACUUGCUGACUUUGAUUUGGGAAAAAAAAAGAUGUAUUUUUUAAUUGAAAUUGAGACCCUCGGGCCCAGCCAGCAUGAUCCAUGUGUGCCGUGCCAGGCCUAAAAACUGGUUGUCGUGCUUGGCACAACACAGCCCGUGAAAUUAUCAGGCUAUACACUGCUAGCCCAUGAGCACAGUUGAGCGUCUCCCUAACGGGACGAACCGUGCCAUGCCCGGCCAUCCAUUCGCCAUAUCCAGCCCGAAUGGUUUAACAAUCGUGAUUUUUGAAUUUUGAAGUUUCAAAAACCUUAAAAAAGGGUAAGAAGGGUAAAAUCAUCCAUUUCAUAUUUUAGGAUGCUCCAAUGGUUGAGCAAACAUGUUUUUUGGAUUUCUGAGCGUCAAAACUCAUGAAGAGGAUUAAAAUCGUGUUUAGACAAUUGAGAGACUGGAAUCCAGCGUGACUUUAAAACAAGAAACAAUGAAAGAGGACAAUGCAUUGGAUUUCGAUUUAAUAGCAUAGUAGACAAAAUAGAAGAUGUUGGCACUUAAAUAUUAAAAUAUUUUCACGGAACUAAACAACCAAAGCAUUUUUAUGAUUGCAAUAAUCCAUACAUUUGUUCAUGUGGAUACAAUUUGUGUGCUAUUGGUGCAUAACAUUUAUACAUAGGGUACACGUUUUUGCUAACUUCUAAAACCUGGCUAUGACUCUGAUACAGGUAUCGAUAUUCUAACCAUAUAGCUUUUGAAUCCAUAAUUCAAGAAAAAACAUAGGGAAAUUUACAGUAAUAACCAAAAAAAUUUUACUUUUUUUCAUCUUAACCCCCCAAAAAUAUUUCUAUCAACAUUAGCCAUAAAACAACAUUUGAGACCAAAAUACCUCUCUCUCAUCUCUCCCCCAACACUCCCUUUCACUCAUCUCUCCCAAACCGAUCCAACUCCCAUCAUCGGCGGCGACGUCAACCCUCGUCGGCGGCGGCUCCAUCUCUCACCGGCAUCCGAUCUACGAUCUACAACCUUCAACAAAACCUAGGUUAGUUAUUUUUCUUAUUUUCAUUAAUUUAAAAUGAAAUUUUAGAAUAAUAAUAGUUAUAGCUUGAGAAUAAUAGUAGUGGUGAUGAUGUUUGUGGUGGUUGGUGGUGUUUGGGAGUAUUGUUUUCGAUUUUAGAGUGAUUGCGCUAAAUUUUGGGGGUGGGGAGGGAGGGGGGCAGGGCGUGCGCGCCCAUGCGCGGCUUGCUGUCGCACCAAAUCUGGUGCGACAGGCGCGCGCCUGUCGCACGAGUUGUGGUGCGACAAGCGCGUUGGUGCGACAAGCCCUGUCGCACCAAUUUUUUGGUGCGACAGGCUUGCUGUGGCACCAGUUUUGGUGCGACAGCAAAAAAUUAGAGUUUUUUUUAACGAGGUAAUUUUUUUUUUCUGUAAAUGUAAUAUAAUAAUUUUAUAAAUAUUACAGAUACAUGGCGAAAUCAGAAUCACCGGAUAUUGAAGUAGGCAAGAUGUAUUUUCAUUAUGCUGAUCACUUUCCUGGUCGAAUUUCGAGCAUGUGUAUGUUAUCUUCGGUCGUAAAAGCCAUCGAGGAAAAAUUAACAAAGCGGCAGUUGACUAUGUUAAAAAAGAAUAUAUUUGGGCAUUUUUUGGAGUGUCGAAGUUUUUUAUUUAGUGGGGUAAUUUUGCACAAUCUUUACUGCGGCAAGUGGCCCAUGAAGAAGAUAGCCGUGAGGAUCAAUUAUGGUUUCAAAUUGGUAAGCAUUUGAUUCGCUUGUCAAUUGUCGAAUGGUGCUUGGUUACUGGACUUUCAUUCGGUAUUGAUACCAAUCAAGAAAAUGAUGAAAUGGAGCAGAGGCUACGGAAUACGUAUUUUGGUGGGGUGCAUCGUAAGAUUAAUGUGAAGCAAUUUGAUGCAGUAUCUAAGAAGUUGAAAUUCAAGGAAAUGGACGAUAUGGACGCAUUAAAGAUUGCGCUAUUUUAUUUUGCGGACAGAAUACUAAAUGCAAGAAAAAAUCACUGUCAAAUUAAUUUCGAUUGGCUUGACCAAGUUGAUGAUAUUCAGUACUUCCGAAAGCGUCCAUGGGGUUUAUUGUCGUGGGAAAUGAUUUACGAGAGUCUUGACAAUGCACUGUUCGAGAAAGACUAGAAAUUUAAGAAGACUCGGUUGAAAAAUUCAAAUCAUAAUAUUGAAAAAUACAAUCUUUAUAGCUUUACGUCUGGGGUUCAAGUGCUUUUUUUUGUUUAUUAAUAAGUUUUGUAGUAUUAAAUAUUUGAUAAUUGUUUUAUUUGAUUUUUCACUUUGGUUGUUGUAGGCUUGGAUUUACGAAGCAAUCGGAGGGUUGCCAUCAACAUGGGUCGUCAAAACGAAGAAUAAGAUUCCCCGCAUUCUGCAAUGUAAGCCCAUGGCGUCUUCGAGAAUCAACUUUGCGGAGGUUUAUUCAUUCUUCAACGACGAAUCUCGUCUUGUAAGUAAUAUGUAUUAUUUAUUUUUUUAACUUUACUAAAUUUAAGAAAUGUAUACUUACUUAAAAUUUUCAAUUGAAUUUAUGGCAGGAGGACGUUUUACAAACUCUUGAGCCAAAUUCAAAGGAGAGUAGCAGAAAAUAUUAGCUCUCUGUGAAGGAUUACUUGUCAAGCAUUCCAGACUGGGUUUAUAAGGUCGGUAUACUCUAAGUACUAAAAAUUUUUUAAUCGAAAUUUUUGACUUUUCAUUUACUAAUUUUAAAUGAUACUUUAUACAGCACCAACCCUCAAUCAACGCGAUGCCGUCGGUUAUAAGGCAAUCAGGCGAGCAUGACGAUCGUGACGACAUACCAAACCCAAUACCAGAGCAGUGUUAUGACACUUUUGAGGAUGAGGUGGCUGUUGAUGACCACCAGCAGCAAACAGACAACUCUGAUGACGCACAGGAUUCUGAGGUUAUAAAUAAUAUAUGAUAUUUUUCUGAAUAUAAAUUAUUAUGUUUUUAUUGUUAUUCUACAUUUAUUUUUUCCUUUUGUAAUAGUCGAGGACAAAGCAGUUUAAUGAUUACGUACGACGACGGCUGGAUAAGAUUGAUCGUAACGUGUAUGAAAUGACUAACGGAUACAAUUGAUUGUUACCAUCAAGACAUGUUGCCACGAACAUGCUUCCACGAUAUAGUCCCUUCAGAUGAGUGCAUCGAUCAAAGAUAAUUACCAACUCAGGUCUAUCACCAAUCACUCCAUGUAACUUCAUCAUGAAUCCAUUCCCAAGCUCUCCUUAUGGCAGUGCAUCGAUCAAAGAUAAUUACCAACUCAGGUCUAUCACCAAUCACUCCAUGUAACUUCAUCAUAAACCAUUCCCAAGCAUCAUUGUUUUCUGAAUCCAUGAUCCCAAUGGCUAACGGAUACAAUUGAUUGUUACCAUCAAGACAUGUUGCCACGAACAUGCUUUCACGAUAUAGUCCCUUCAAAUGAGUACCACCUACAGCAAUGACAGGCUGAAUGUACUGCAUAAACCCCUUGAUGGAAGAUCCGAAUGCUACAAAAUAGUACAAGAAAUUACCAUCUCCAUCCUGCUCGAGAUGAGUGACUGUACCCUCAUUUGCUGUAGUUAGUACGUGAGAGUAUUUAGGGAGCAAGUUGUAUGACUGCAAGGUUGCCGCGAACUAUUUCAAGACCAACUUCUCUCGCCCUAUAUGCCUGCUGAUAUGUUAACUGAACACUGUAUUCUUGUUGCAUAUCUGCUCUUAUGUCAUUGAGAGUAUAAAUCCUCUUAUCUUGAAUAUAUUUUUCUGCGAUAAUAUGACUGACAACCCGACUCCUUACUUGAUGACGUCCAUCAACCAAUACCUCAUUAUGACAAGUGUGUACAUUAUCAAUUCUCUUCACCACCCAAGGAACAUUUUGCUCGUUCGAACUUCUAGUUGCUCGAAUACGCCAUUUACAUGAUUAUGAACAACAGUGAGCCUCGAAACGUGUCGUAGUAGACCGUGCAAUCUUGAAAUCAAAUUUAUCUCUAAAGGCCACCUUGCGUAGUUGUAAUAUAAACUCAUUCUUCUCAGCAAAUAGCUUAUCCACGCUGAUAUCAUCUGAGUCACAACUGCUAACAAAGCUUGGAGCAACCAUGUUCGAAGGCAAAGUUGGAGCAACCAUGUUCAAAGGCAAAGUUGGAGCAAGACUUGUAAGGGGGUCAAUUCUCCUUCUCGAUCGAACCAUAGAAGGAAUAGGUCUAUUACCUCUGUUAUUCACAGGAGUAUUGUCUUCACACUCAUCCUCAUGCUGAAACGACGGAACAUUUGAAAGACUGGCUCCUCCAUCAUCACCAUCAUUAUUGAAACGAGUGCCCCGCCUCGUAUUAUUAGAAGGUUCUGCACAAACAUUAUCACCCUCUGUCUCAUUAUGAAAAUUAUCAUUGUCCCGAAAAUCAUUGUUGUGAUACGGAGAAUAUCGUUGCUCCAACAUCCUGUAACGUAACGCCAUUAUCAUCAUCGUUGUCAUAAUUGUUGUGGAUUGAAGAGUAAUAUUGCUGCAGCGAUAUUGUCCUUGGCAACACCUCUUCAUCAUUAUCGGGACCAGACAUAUUUGCUCUAAACAAAGUUCUAUAUCGACAUGUGGCUCAAUACCUUCGCUCAGAACUCGAGGUGAUGUGGUCACGAAUAUAGGAAUGCAUCCAAAAUUAGCUACGUCAGAUGCCAUAUGCAACACAACCCUCACCAUUUCAUUGUCACAUAUAUCCAUGUGCAUUGCACAUAUACGAUAUAAUGUGUUACUAGACCUCAAAGUUGUCUUCAUUGUGAUACUAUAGUCAUUAGGGUUUAUUUGUAACACUUCGUAUACUCUUGCCAAUAACUGAUCAAACAGAUAAUUUUUUCCAACUAAAAAAGCUCGAUUUUUACCAUUCACAUACUCCAUACGGUCAUUCUCUAAUGUCUCCCACCAACCAUCGUAACACAAUUCAAGUACAACUCAAUCCAUUAAGCCUGAAAUUAUAAAAAAAUUUAUUUGAGUCCUAUUAAAAUAAUACAGUUUUAAUGAAUCUCCAGGUGGGUGCGACAGGCAACCUGUCGCCCGAAGUUUGGUGCGACAGGCGUCUGUCGCGCCAAGGUUUGGUGCGACAGGGUGCUUGCUUGGUGCGACGGUUGCCUAUCACGCCAAGGGUUGGCGCGACAGGCACCCUGUCGCCAGAUUCAGAUUCACCCGACUUAGUUCAGUAAGUUCAGAAAAUAAUUCAUACCACUAAGUGACGUCGAUUUGUGUUGGAUAUGGAUAAAUUAUAAUCGGAUAUCACUUUUACUAUUGUCUUUUGCCGUCGUCGUUGGCUGAUGAUUCAAGAGUGAAAAGCUGCUUUUGGUUUGGCGAUAUGGGAGAAACAAUGUUGGUUUUGUUCUAUAAAGAAGGGUAAUUUGGGAAGAAAAGCUUGUGUUUGGCUAAUGUUGAUAGAAAAAAAUUGAGAGGGUUAAUUGCGAAAAUAAUAAAAUAUUAAUGGUUAUUUUCGUAAAUUUCCCAAAAACUUAAUAAAAAAUCUCAGUAGUUAUUUUAGGAGUAUCAUAACAUCUAAUACUAACUAUAAGAAAGAGUAUCGGUUGUCCAAAAAGAUAAGCAGUGCGCCAAAGACGCAAAUUGUGAAGCUGGGGAAAAAGAUAAGCAGUGCGCCAAAGACGCAAAUUGUGAAGCUGGGGAUGCAAUUUCUACAAUAGCUACAAAAUUAAGUAGCAUGUCAAUGACUUUAAUGGAGAAGCCAAUGUCUACUAAGCCUUAGCUCACAUUAUUCAAGCUGCUAUAAGACAAUCUUCCAAGCUUGGUAACUCAGUUUGAAGUAUGUACUAAGCCUUAGCUCACCUUAUUCAAGCUGCUAUAACACAAGCUUCCAAGCUUGGUAACUCAGUUUGAAGUAUUUCCUUUUUGGAGACUCCCAUCCUCAUUCCUACGGAAACUAAUGUUUCCAGGGCUCUGGCACUAUUUUGUAGGAGGUCCUUGUCUAUUUGUAUUGCAUCCUGCAAAACCCACAAACAAAUAUAGUUUAAAAAGGAAAAUGUAGAUGCCGUCAUCACAUAUAUUAUAACAUGGUGAUACAUGUAUGAACAAAUUGUACAAAAAUGAUUAAAUUCAUCAACCUAAUAUAUCUUCAAGAUCUUUAUAACUUGUUAUAUGCUUUUCAAAGGACCCAGAUAGAAACUAGUAACUAGAAAAAGCGAUUAAAUAGAAUAAGAAGAAAUCUGUUCUGAAAGACAUAUACAGGCAAACCUUUUCAAAUACACAAAUUACUGUGCUCCCACCAAAUGAGAAAUAUCCAAACUGUAAAUUAAAAUGAAUUAAUGUCAAUUAGAAGCAAAGACAAAUUUGAGAGAACCACAAGAAGAGCAACAUUAUUUAGGAACUUCUAACCUCAUCUCCUUUUUUGACAAAGUCACCCGUGUUCUUCAGAAAAGUGAUGCUACCAACCAUGGUUGCACCAAUUGCUACAAAGGCUACCUGCAACCAAACUUCGAUAAGUUAAAAAGAAUAGCCACAUGUCUAUCAUAAAAAUAUAUUGUUAAUUUUGUGUCCCUACAUGGAUCGGUGGAAGCAUAUUAAUGACGAUUGUAAAGAAAACAAAUUCCCAUAUAUCUAUCAUAAGGGUAAAUGUGUUGUAAAUGCUAUUUUUUCGUUUUGAGAAUAACUUAUAAAUGCUAUAUCGGGACAUAAAAGAGGCAAAAUACUAGAAAUUCAUACAAAGUACCACUGCUUGAAUUUCCUAGGCAGGCUUUAUAUAUCACAAGGCAGAACAGAUGGUUGCAACUCAAGAGAGAUAUCUGAUAGGAUGCCAACCCUAGGGAGCUCAGGGAGGUGCCAGCUACUAAAUAGAAUGCUUGAAAAGAUUAUUAAAAAGGGCAGGAUAUCAAGGUAAGGCAAACAGAGGAAAUCAUAGGGGCCAUGAAAUAAAGAAAGCAGACCUUAUAUUGAGAAAUAUAAGAAAUCAAAUACAUAUCCAAAUUAGUGCAAUUUAUAAAGUUUUCAAAAAUAAACUAGAAGUCUUGAAUCUCUUAUCAUUUUUUAUUUUUUACCAUUUCAAAAGAUAAUUCUUAUAAUUUUACUUGAUCAGAGAUAUUUCACUUGGGCCAUCUCCAAUCCGUUCCAUCAAUGGUCAUAAAGUCUGUUGCACCUACGAUUCUUGUUGUGCCAAAUGUAUCACAGCAGGUAAUCUAGGGCAAGAACUUAGUCAUCACCGAUAAGUAUUUCAAGUAAUUGUGAAGAAAUUCUGUGACUUGAUGACUGCAGUAGGGCAUCGUUUACUUUUUCAGAUUGGAAUGAGAAUCCUGAGGAGUUGGAAUUCUAGAAUUGGGAAUGUGGAUACAACUGAUGGGAGAGGAAGGAAGGUGGAUACUGUUGAAAAGAGGUGGUAGAGGAGAAGAAGGAAAUGGCGGCUGAUAGGAGAACUAGGGUUUAGAGCCCUGCUCUGAUACCAUGAAGAAAACCAUGAAUUUGUUCCUCUUUUUCUUACUGUCCAGAACGGUAUGUACAAGGGAUAUAUACAGCAAAUAGGAGAGAAAAUAGGAGACUACAUCUAUCCUUUCCCAAAUAAUAGGAAACAAAAUCUGGGAAAGAAUCCUAAUGAAUCUUCCCAUUAUAAUCUAACUUAUUCCUAAAAUAGCCUAGAUUACAAAUAAAUCCUAACUUUGAAUCUUUAUUUUCAACAAAGUUGUUUACUUAUACUGGAUUGGGAGUAUAGAAUAGGAAUCAUAAUACAAUUUACUUGUUUAAUUUGUCCUGGAUUGGAAGUAAAUUGUUUCAAAUUAUAGUUUUACCAUUAUUUAAAGAAUUGUAGUUUCCAAUUACAAAGUGAAAAAAAAUAUAUUUGUAAAAUAAACUAUUUAUUUUAUUAUUAAUUUUAAUUAAAUAAAUUAAUAAUUACUAUUACUAUAAUUUUACUUUUAAUUAUGGAAAUUAAAAAUUAUUGAUAAGAGCAAUGCAAAUGAAACAUUAUUAUUAAUGAAACAUUAUUAUUAAUAAUAUAGUAUAAAAUUAAUAUUUUCUUAUAAUAAACUAUUUAUUAUUUAUUAUUGAUAUUAAAUAAAUAUAACACUAUUAAAAAUAAAUAAAUAUAAUAAUAUUAUAUUUUCAAAUAAAGAUAGUAUAUAAGAACACUAUUAAUCUCUAUGAAUAUACUAAUAUUAUUUUUAAGUCAUUUAACUUAGAAUCAAUGUAAAUUAUUAUUAUCAACUAAAUAUAAUAAUAUUAUACUUAAAAUAAGUUUAAUAUUAUUAUUUUUAAUAAAUGUAAUAUUAUUUAAAUAAAUAUAAUAUUAUUAUUUUUAAAUAAGUGUAAUAUUACUUUAUUCUAAUAAUAGAACUAUAUUAUAUUUAAUAAAAGAAUGAUAAAAAAAGAAGAGGAUGGAGUGGGAUUCCCACACCCUCCUCCCAUAGGAGUGGGAAUCCCACUCCUAACUCCAAAAAAUGAGUGGGACUCCUACUCUCUUUAAAUGCGCAAGUAAACACUAGAGUAGGAAAAAUCUACACUCCCCAUUACUACUCCGGCAAAUAAACGCACCAUAGAUUUGUUGACAUGUAAAACUUAUGAUGAGGCUGAGAGAUUGUCAAUCUUUUAGUAUUUUAGAGUGGUUGGUUUUUGACAGGAUUUUAGUAUCACUGCAUCCCUAUUUCAUUUGUCGUAGCACCUGGGUUUCAGUUACAACGUUGACUAUGAUCAGAUCCACUAUUAUAUAAAAUGAAAAUUCAACUUCUCAUUGAAAAAGAGAAAAUCCCUCUGCACUGACAACUCCUGCUUCUACUUUUAUUUAACAAACUCAUGUGAACCCAUAUGAGGAAGCCAAUCAUCAAUACUUCAAGUGCAACUUCCGAUCCUAUUCCUUGGAUAAUGGACACUGGUAAUUCAUCUUAUAUGACUGCUACCACUCCAAAUUUAGUUUUUAUUUUCCUUCCAGCAAAGCACCCUUAGUAGUCUUGGCAGAUGGCCAUAAGUGCCCAGUUCAGGACUAGGAGCAAUUUUUGUCAAUUCUAUCAUUUCUGUUUCCUCAGUUCUCUGUCCCUAAAUUUUCAAUUUCUCUGUUACUAAGUCAGCUAAAGAAAUUUUCAAUCCUUUUCUUUUUUUAUCAUCUAAUGGUGAUUUUCAAGAUCUUGAUACAAGAAAGACAAAUUGGUGAAGGAAAUGAGAUAAAUGGACUCUGUCAGACUUUUGCACCAUGUUUAUUAUCCAGCACACUUUUUCUUUUCUAAGUGGUUUCUUCAGAACAAUGGCAUUACCUAUUAGGUCAUCCUCGCCCUCAACUGUUUCAUCAUUUGGUGAAAUAGGUUAGGCAAUUCUAGUUUUGUCAACUAGGAAAACAUCUUCAUGUCCCUCAUGAGUUAAUAGAAUUACUGUGCAUCACAAUUUUUUCAGACACUCGGUCCUUAGGUCCCUGAAUAGUUCAUAACUUCCAUGUGGUUAAAUAUUUUGUCUUGAUAAUCGUUAACAAACUACAUGGUUAUUUUACAAAUAAAUAUUUUACUAAUCUUCAUGGGACAAUUUCAUAUUUUACUAAUAAAUAUUUAUCAAAACAAAAACUACACUUUUAUUGAAAUAAAGACUCCACCAUUGUUUCUGAUGAAACUCUUUGUAAUCAAUUGCCCUAGAAUAUUGUCAGUUCCAACUUCAAAAUAUGAUACUUCAAAAUUCCUGUCCUCAACUCCAUUGGAAAAUGGAGUAGCUGAAAUAAAUUAUAGGCAUUGUUAGACAUCAAGAACUAUUCUUCUCCAUAAAAUUGUCCCAUGAAGAUUUUGGAGAAGCUCUUCUCACUGCUUGCUACUAAUAAACAAGACUACUACGAUCAUCACUUAACUUUGGAGCAGCAUAUUUUAUUUUAUUUCACAACAAAACUCUACUUUCUUUCUCACAAUGUAUAUUUGGUCGUUUGCCUUGUCCAUGUUAUACCUUAUAGACUUUCCCUAAGUCAACCAAAUGUAUCUGUGAAGAUGUUAGCACCUGAGUUUUUGGACUCAAAUGCAAAUCAUGAAAAACUUAUGGGGUCAUUGUGAGGUUGACUUUAGUUGAUGGGGUCUUAUUAAUAUUUUACACUGAAUCUGCUUGCCCAGAAAUAUCAGAAUAAAUGGGGCUGAUGAACAGCGCCUGAUAUGAACUUGUUAUCUUCUUCAUUUGUUGACCAAAUUGCAUAGGAUUUGUUUCUUUGUAACCUUUGCAAUCUCUUCUGUAGGUCCACUUUGUAUCUUAAGUGUUUUGAUCAAUAAAACGAGUGGGUUUUUCCUUCUAAUCUUGGCUGUGUGAAACAAGGUUAUUCUGUUUGUUCUUGAUUCUGGGUUCUGUGUUCGCUGUUUGGAUUAGCUUUAAUCUGGUUCAGUUCAUCAAGUUCUUGAAGAAUUGACUCGUUAAGCCAUUAAAGAUUCAACAGUAUCUUUCUUGGUUAUUCUAGGACACAAAAAGAUAAAGUUUCCUAAUCCCACUUCUCAGGAAACUCAUGCUAGUGCUGAUAUAACAUGUUCCAUAUCCUUAUUUUCACAUUCUGGAACCUGAAUUUAUUUUUGGCUCUGUUGAAAUUCUUCCUCCAGUUGUUUCAAUAGAUAAAACCAUACAGGUACAUAUGUGCAUUGGAGUUUGUGUUUUUUGUCUUUUAGUAUGUUCCUGUAGGAAAACUAAACAGCAACCUACUAACGAGGUGAUCCUUCUCCUUUAGCCCAAUCCUCCAUUCAAGAGACUACCUCCAUCUAGGAUCAUCCUCAUCAAGCUACAACUAAAAUUUUUCAUCUUGAUUUUCAUGCUGCUCUUAGAAAAGGUUCAGUUGUAGACAGAAGCACCUACAAGGUAUUUUUUUGCUCAUUCUAUUUCAGUUCAUAGUUUUUCUAGUUCCCUUAAUCUUGCCUACAAAUUAUCAAAAAGCUAUACAUCAUCCAAUUCGAGGUUGGCUAUUGAACAAGAAAUGAAACCUCAUUAUGUUGUAGCACCACCAAGUUGCAGAACAUUUGGGGACAUUGGGAAAACUAGCGAGGAGGACCGUUGAAGUGAAAAUAUUUAAAAUCAAAAAGGCAUUUUUUCCAACAAACUUUUCCUAAGAAGGCCAACAGAAACUCCAUUCCCAAAAGUAAGAACAUGUAAAAACAACCAAAAUUUACUUGGUUCUAACAUUCGGUUAAAAACUGUUUGUUCUAGCCUUCUUUCAAUUGAUCUGAUACCAAACAGAAUGAAGAGGACUGUUGAAGUAAAAUUAGAUUAACCCAAAACAGCCUCUUAAGUCUAUGGAACUUCUAUUGAACUUUUACACAAAUCUAGGUCUUUUGAAAAUGGCACUAUGGACAGGCUAAAGGUCCGACUAGUAGCUGAAGGAUACACUCAAAAACUUAUGGAGGUGAUUAUCUUAAAAUUUUUCAGUCUUUAUAUCCUUUGGCAAUUGGCCUACCUUGUGGCAACUUAACAACAGAGAGGAGUAUAAUAUUUAGAGUCCGUAUACUAUUCACUAGCGUUACACCUUAUACCACAUCAGAAGAUCCAAGUCAAGACAUUCUUAUCAGUGUUGUGCACAAAAGAACCAUUAUAUAUCCUGAUUCCAAGCUAGGUAUUCCAAAAAUCUAUGCUCCCACUUUAGUAUAAAGCCAAAAUAUGAAACAAAGGAUAUCACUAGUUGCUCUCAUUCACUAUACUUUUAUAUCAUCAAAAUAAUGUUCUGGUCCUAUAGAUUUCUUGUACUUUAUGAGUCAUGGAUACAACAAUUUUCAGCCUGUCUUUUUUCUCUUUGGUGAUAUUACUCAACUAACAUCAUUGUUCUCCCAAAGUCCCAAUAAUUGCAAUGCCUGAUGUGAAAAUUUUGAAAUCAACAAAAAAUCUUAAUCUAUAAAUAAUGACAAGUUUUGCACAAACAGAUGGUCAAAUGCAGUGGAUGUCAACUAUAACGGCCAUCGAGUGCAGGAACUGUGAUAUCACACUGAUAAAAUACCAAACUCAAGGAUAAAUUUUUAAAAUAGAUUUGCAGCCAUCUAUAUUUUUGAAAUAUGAGAAAUGCCAAAAAUUAACAAUAAUUUGGUACGUUAAUCUUUUGCCAGGAGACUCUCACACAUGGAAAAUGAGCUCAAGUUAAAAGACGUAAAAAGAUACUGGUACAAUAACAAUAAUAUUAU
rnacentral:lncRNA from 1 species